rnacentral:rRNA from 1 species
AACGAACGCUGGCGGCGUGCCUAAUACAUGCAAGUCGAACGAGAGGAUGGGGUAACCCAUUAGUAAAGUGGCAGACGGGUGAGUAAUACAUAAGUAACUUACCUUUUAGUUGGGGAUAACCUUCCGAAAGGAGGGCUAAUACCGAAUAAGACCACAAGAACUACGGUUCUAGGGGUUAAAGGUGGCUUCGGCUAUCGCUAAAAGAUGGGCUUAUGCACCAUCAGGUAGUUGGUAAGGUAACGGCUUACCAAGCCUAUGACGGUUAACUGAUCUGAGAGGUUGAUCAGUCACACUGGAACUGAGACACGGUCCAGACUCCUACGGGAGGCAGCAGUAGGGAAUAUUGCGCAAUGGAGGAAACUCUGACGCAGCGACGCCGCGUGGGUGAUGAAGGCUUUCGGGUCGUAAAGCCCUGUCGGAGGAGAAGAAAACGGUAUGGCUAAUAUCCAUACCGCUUGACGGUAUCCUUAAAGGAAGCACCGGCUAACUACGUGCCAGCAGCCGCGGUAAUGUGCGCG